rnacentral:RNase_P_RNA from 1 species
AGGGAUGCGUGCGCAGCCGUACUUCCUCCCCUUUCGAGGGGGAAGUGAGGAAAGUCCGGGCACCAACGGGCAGCCUGCUACCUAGCGGAUAGACGGUCGUAAGGUUGUGCGGACGUAGCAGAAAAUAACCGCUUACCUAUACCCUUGUGGUAGGGUAAGUAAGGGUGAAAAUGUGGGGUAAGAGCCCACGGCCCUACCCGGUGACGGGUGAGGGCGUACGUCGCCAGGUGGUGCAAGAUCAUGUAGGCCUACUGGGGCGCAAGCCCUUCGGGAUGCCCUCCCGAUGCCUACUCCCUCUCGGGGGAGAGCCAGUAGGUGGGUAGAUCGCUAGAACCCUUCGGCAACGAUGGGUCAAGAUAAAUGGCUGCUAACUGGGGGAUCUCCCUGGGAAACAGAACCCGGCUUACAGCGCAUCCCUCAUG